UACGUAGGUGGCAAGCGUUGUCCGGAUUUAUUGGGUUUAAAGGGUGCGUAGGCGGCUUUAUAAGUCAGUGCUGAAAUAUCCCGGCUUAACCGGGAGGGUGGCAUUGAUACUGCAGAGCUUGAGUGAAGUCGAGGUAGGCGGAAUUGACGGUGUAGCGGUGAAAUGCUUAGAUAUCGUCAAGAACACCUAUAGCGAAGGCAGCUUACUAGGCUGUAACUGACGCUGAGGCACGAAAGUGUGGGGAUCAAACAGG
rnacentral:rRNA from 1 species